rnacentral:rRNA from 1 species
UUCCGGUUGAUCCUGCCGGAGGUCACUGCUAUUGGGAUUCGACUAAGCCAUGCGAGUCGAGAGGGUUCGGCCCUCGGCAGACGGCUCAGUAACACGUGGAUAAUCUGCCCUUAGGUGGAGGAUAACCUCGGGAAACUGAGAAUAAUACUCCAUAGAUCUAGGAUGCUGGAAUGCUUCUAGGCUGAAAGCUCCGGCGCUCGAGGAUGAAUCUGCGGCCUAUCAGGCAGUAGUGGGUGUAACGGACCCACUAACCUUCGACGGGUACGGGCCUUGAGAGAGGUUGCCCGGAGUUGGACUCUGAGACACGAGUCCAGGCCCUACGGGGUGCAGCAGGCGCGAAGACUUCACAAUGUGGGAAACCACGAUGAGGGGAUUCCAAGUGCCAACACUUUGUGUUGGCUGUUCACUUGCCUAAAAAGCUGGUGAAGUAAGAGCCGGGUAAGACGGGUGCCAGCCGCCGCGGUAAUACCCGCGGCUCGAGUGGUGGCCACUAUUAUUGAGCCUAAAGCGUUCGUAGCCGGUUUCGUAAAUUUCUGGGUAAAUCGGGCAGCUUAACUGUCCGAAUUCCGGAAAGACUGCGAAACUUGGGACCGGAGGAGGUUGGAGGUACUCCUGGGGUAGGGGUGAAAUCCUGUAAUCCUGGGGGGACCACCAGUGGCGAAGGCGUCCAACCAAAACGGCUCCGACGGUAAGGGACGAAGCCCUGGGGCGCAAACGGGAUUAGAUACCCCGGUAGUCCAGGGUGUAAACGCUGCAGGCUUGGUGUUGGGGGUCCUACGAGGGCGCCCAGUGCCGGAGAGAAGUUGUUAAGCCUGCCGCUUGGGGAGUACGUCCGCAAGGAUGAAACUUAAAGGAAUUGGCGGGGGAGCAC